rnacentral:rRNA from 1 species
CAGCAGCCGCGGUAAUACGUAGGUCCCGAGCGUUGUCCGGAUUUAUUGGGCGUAAAGAGUUCGCAGGCGGUUUCUUAAGUCUGAUGUGAAAGCCCCCGGCUCAACCGGGGAGGGUCAUUGGAAACUGGGAAACUUGAGUGCAGAAGAGGAGAGUGGAAUUCCACGUGUAGCGGUGAAAUGCGUAGAGAUGUGGAGGAACACCAGUGGCGAAGGCGACUCUCUGGUCUGUAACUGACGCUGAGGAGCGAAAGCGUGGGGAGCGAACAGGAUUAGAGACCCGCGUAGUCCCUGUCUCUUAUAC